ensembl:snRNA U6 U6 spliceosomal RNA
GUGCUCACUUCGGCAGCACAUGUACUAAAACUGGAACGACACAGAGACGAUUAGCAUGGC